GACGAACGCUGGCGGCGUGCUUAACACAUGCAAGUCGAACGGAAAGGCCCUGCUUUUGUGGGGUGCUCGAGUGGCGAACGGGUGAGUAACACGUGAGUAACCUGCCCUUGACUUUGGGAUAACUUCAGGAAACGGGGGCUAAUACCGGAUAUUAGCUCCUGCUGCAUUGUGGGGUGUGGAAAGUUUCGGCGGUUGGGGAUGGACUCGCGGCUUAUCAGCUUGUUGGUGGGGUAGUGGCUUACCAAGGCUUUGUCGGGUAGCCGGCCUGCGAGGGUGACCGGCGACAUUGGGACUGAGAUACGGCCCAGACUACUACGGGAGGCAGCAGUGGGGAAUAUUGCACAAUGGGCGGAAGCCUGAUGGAGCAACGCCGCGUGCGGGAUGACGGCAUUCGGGUUGUAAACCGCUUUCGCCUGUGACGAAGCGUGAGUGACGGUAAUGGGUAAAGAAGCACCGGCUAACUACGUG
rnacentral:rRNA from 1 species